CUCCUCCUCAUGUUUCUCCUGUUCGUGUUCCCCCUGCUGCUCGUGCCCUUCAAUUUCAGAAACAAAGUUUCUGAAAUUGAAACUUUGUUUUAUUCCUCCUUAUUCAAGUUGGGCCAAAUCAAUUGGGCUUUGGAAAUUGGACUCGGAGUUCAGGAAGAACGAUCCAUCGAACAGGGAAUAUAAACUACGGUUGAGGUACGAAGAAGAUCAUGGGAUGCCUUAGAGUGAGGAUGCAACCAUCAAAUUCACGAUCGAUGUUUAAUAAAGAUAAUUAUGUAUCACUAGUAAAAAUGGAUGAACUAAUUAAACUCUAAGUCAAAUUUCAAUUAUUGAGAUGGAUUUUAAUAUUUAUGUUUAAUCAAUGUU